CAGCAGCCGCGGUAAUACGUAGGGUGCAAGCGUUAAUCGGAAUUACUGGGCGUAAAGCGUGCGCAGGCGGUUAUAUAAGACAGAUGUGAAAUCCCCGGGCUCAACCUGGGAACUGCAUUUGUGACUGUAUAGCUAGAGUACGGCAGAGGGGGAUGGAAUUCCGCGUGUAGCAGUGAAAUGCGUAGAUAUGCGGAGGAACACCGAUGGCGAAGGCAAUCCCCUGGGCCUGUACUGACGCUCAUGCACGAAAGCGUGGGGAGCAAACAGGAUUAGAUACCCCAGUAGUCCCUGUCCUUAUACA
rnacentral:rRNA from 1 species